UGCGAGUUUAGGGGCUCCUUCGGGAGCACCGGCGGACUGCUCAGUAACACGUGGACAACCUACCCUCGGGUGGGGGAUAACCUCGGGAAACUGAGGCUAAUACCCCAUAGGCCUCGGAUACUGGAAGGUUCCGAGACCGAAAGCUCCGGCGCCCGAGGAUGGGUCUGUGGCCUAUCAGGUAGUUGGUGGUGUAAAGGACCACCAAGCCUACGACGGGUACGGGCCCUGAGAGGGGGAGCCCGGAGAUGGACUCUGAGACACGAGUCCAGGCCCUACGGGGCGCAGCAGGCGCGAAACCUUCGCAAUGCGCGAAAGCGCGACGAGGGGAGCCCGAGUGCCCUUCCUUUCGGGAGGGCUUUUCUGGAGCCUAAAAAGCUCCAGGAAUAAGGGCUGGGCAAGACGGGUGCCAGCCGCCGCGGUAAUA
rnacentral:rRNA from 1 species